UUCCGGUUGAUCCUGCCGGAGGCCACUGCUAUUGGGAUCCGACUAAGCCAUGCGAGUCGAGAGGGUUCGGCCCUCGGCAGACUGCUCAGUAACACGUGGAUAAUCUACCCUUAGGUGGAGGAUACUCUCGGGAAACUGAGAAUAAUACUCCAUAGAUCCAGGAUGCUGGAAUGCACCUAGAUUGAAAGUUCCGGCGCCUAAGGAUGAGUCUGCGGACUAUCAGGUAGUAGUCAGGGUAAAGACCUGACUAGCCUACGACGGAUACGGGUUGUGAGAGCAAUAGCCCGGAGACGAUAUCUGAGACACGAUAUCGGGCCCUACGGGGCGCAGCAGGCGCGAAAUCUUCACAAUGUGCGAAAGCACGAUGAGGGGAUCCCAAGUGUUGGUUCGUAAGAAUCAUCUGUUUCUUUGUCUAAAAAACAGAGAGAGUAAGAGCUGGGUAAGACGGGUGCCAGCCGCCGCGGUAAUACCUGCAGCUCAAGUGGUGGCCGCUAUUAUUGGGCCUAAAACGUCCGUAGCCGGUUUAGUAAAUGCUUGGGUAAAUUGUGUAGCUCAACUAUACGAAUACCGAGUAGACUGCUGAACUUGGGACCGGGAGAGGCUAGAGGUACUCCUAGGGUAGAGGUGAAAUUCUGUAAUCCUAGGGGGACCACCAGUGGCGAAGGCGUCUAGCUAGAACGGGUCUGACGGUGAGGGACGAAGCCCUGGGGCGCAAACCGGAUUAGAUACCCGGGUAGUCCAGGGUGUAAACGCUGCUCGCUUGAUGUUAGUUGGGCUCCGAGCCCAACUAGUGUCGGAGAGAAGUUGUUAAGCGAGCUGCCUGGGAAGUACGGUCGCAAGGCUGAACUUAAAGGAAUUGGCGGGGGAGCACAGCAACGGGUGAGCGUGCGAUUAAUUGGAUCACGCCG
rnacentral:rRNA from 1 species